CAAAUCCUUUUGUCUUGUAUGAAAACUCAGUCGCAAUCAUUUUGAAGAUACUUUAUAUAAUCUAUUUCAAGUAUACAGUUUGGUGAAUUUUGACAUGUGUGUACAUUCAUACAAUCCCCAACCCAAAGUAUAUAACAUUUCCAUUUUCUCAAACCCCAUUACAAACUCUACACCCUCACAUCUCUGAUAUAACAUGACUAAUUGCUAUGGUUUCUGUCACUUUUGGGUACUUUAUUUUUCUUGAAUUAUGGUGUACUUCUUAUAUCUGAUUAAAAUGUGCUCACCAUGUUUUAAUAUUUUUCACACUUGAUAUGAAUAGCAGGUUAUUUUCUGUUGUUAAGUCUUCUCUUGUCAUGGAAUAUCAAGAACUGUGUCUCCUUUUCCCUGUCAUGGCCAUCUAGACUCUGUCCAGUUUAGAGCUUUAGUGAAUGUAGAUGCCAUGAACAUUUUUGUACAAUAAUGCUUGUGUGUGUAGCUUAUAUACUCCCUCUUGGAUAAAUUCGGAGUGAAAUUCAGAGAUUACAGAGCAGGUCUGUGUUUAACUUUAUGACAUUAAAACAACAAACCGACUUACACCACCGGACAAGUUUCCUGACACUGAACUACAAGCUACAGGCGCUCUGGAUCUUACCAUUUGGAGUUGCUGAUGUGUUUGGAGGAAGUUGUUUUAGUUCUUGACACACAGACUUUUAGGAUAAAACAACAGGAUAGAGCAGUGAGUUCAAUGUGAACUUCUUUGAUAUGUUUAUCAAAUGUAUGCAUAUGCAAAUACAUACUUUAAUGAGGCAUCAUAUUCACGGUCCAUUUUUAAAAUCAGUUUGUCAGACAUGGUAUAUAUUCAUUUAUAUAUUAUUUUUUCCAUUCAUAUUUGAUUCAGUCCUAGAUAUCUGGGGUAUCCUGCCUCUGAGUUCUGGGUGGGUAUUAGCCAUAAAGUAAAGGAGAACCAUGCUACAACCUACAGACAGAGAAAAGCUAAGUAACCAGAAGGGCUGGGGGGGGGAGUUGUGCAUGAAUCUCGCUGUGAAGGGGAAUUAGAAUGGAUACUGCCAGUGGAUAGAGGGAGGGGCUAAAGAGGGUGGGCAUGGGAAUAGGAGGGAUCAGGUAUGGGGAGGAUGGAAGGAGAGAGUACUGGGAGAAACAACUGGAAUCUGGGGUAUCUUGGGAUGAGCUAGAAACUUUGAGCAAUGAAAACUCCCAGGUGUCUGUGAGGGUGACCCUAGCUAAAACUCCCAGGUGUCUGUGAGGGUGACCCUAGCUAAAACUCCCAGGUGUCUGUGAGGGUGACCCUAGCUAAGACUCCUAGCAAUAGGAGACACGGAGCCUGAACUAGACAUCUUCUGUAACCAAGCAAGACUUCCGGUGCAGAGACUGGGACAUCAACUCAGACACAAACCCUUCGAAAUACAAUUUGUCCUUGCCUACAAGAUGUGCUGGGAUAAAGAUGGCACAGAAACUGUGGGAGUGGCCAACUAAUGACUAGCCCAGCGGGAGAACCCCUGAGAGGAGACGCAUCCCCGAGGGCCAGGACCCAGAGGCAGGAUACCCCAGAUAUCUAGGACUGAAUCAAAUAUGAAUGGAAAAAUAACAGUCAAUGAAAUGAUUCGUAAUGAUAUUCUGUUAUCCUCAUAAAUUGUGCCUAGCCCAGCUGUCAUCAGAGAGGCUUCACCUAGCAACUGAUGGAAACAGAGGUAGGACCCACUGCCAAACAUUAGGUGGAGCUCUAGGAAUCUUGUGGAAGAGUGGGAGGAAGGCUUACAAGCCGGAAAGGUCAAGUACACUAUAAGAAAACCCACAGAACCAACUAAUGUGGGCUUUUAGGGGCUCACAGAGACUGAACCAAUCACCAGGGAGCUUGCAUGGGACUGACCUAGGCACCCUGCAUAGAAUGCUAUGGUUGUGUAGCUUGGUCUUCUUGUAAGACUCCUAACAGUCCAAGCAGGAGCUGUCCCUGACUCUGAUGCUUGCUUUUGGGACACUUUCCUCCCACCUUAAUAGAAGAGGAAGUAUCUAGUUUCACUGAAACUUGAUAUACCAUGGCUGGAUGAUAUCCAUGGGAGGCUCUGCCAGCAUCUGAAGAGAAACAAGAGGAGGAGGAGUGGGUAGGAUAGAUAGUGGGGGAGGGACUGGGAGAAGAGGAGAGGGGGAACUUUGGUUGGGAUGUAAAAACAAAGAAAUUAAAACAAAAAAAUCAGUUUAUUUUAACUACAAUUAUUCUAGAUAUUUUGCUUCAAGUCUGUGGCUUUCCCCAUUUCUUUUCUUAAACUUUUUAAAAAAUUUUAUGCAUGUGGGUGUUUUAUAUACAUAUAUGUAUGUAUAUACAGAUAUGCCCACCUCUAGUGUGUAGUGCCUGCGAAGACCAGAACAGGGCGUUGGAUCCCCUGGAACUGGAGUUACAGAUGAUUAUGGCCUACCAUAUGGGUGCUGGGAAUCUAAGUCCUCUGCAAGAACAACAAGUGUUUUUAACCAUUGAGCCAUCUGACACCCAAUUAUUUUCUUAAUAUUUUUUUUGAGACAGGGUUUCUCUAUUUAACAGACCUGACUGUCCUGAAAUUUACUCUGUAGACCAGGCUGGCCUUGAACUCAGAGAGAUCCACCUGCUUCUCCCUCCCUGAGUGCUGAAAUUAAAGGUGUGCACCACCACCAUCCAGCUUCUUAGUAUUUUUUAAUGGUUAGAAAUAUUUUUAAUGGUUAAUGUAAUAAAGUCCAACUAUUCUAUUUUUAUAGUAUUAUAUAAGAACUCUGUCAGAACCGAAGCUGCACAUAUGCUUUGUUCUAGAAGCUUACAGACUGAACUUCUGUAUUUAGGUCUAUGAUCCAUGUUGAAUUAUAAUUUGUGGACUUUGCUUCUGUGUGUUCCUUUUCUUGUGGCUGCUAAUGACAUUUGAAGAAAGUACUUCACUUUCUCCGGAAGGUGACAUUAGUUCCCUUAUUGACAAUCAAUACCUACAUGCGUGUCAGUCAAAUUCUGAUUCCCUUGUAUUCAUUAAUCUAUUUGUCUUAUAGUGACAGCACCCUGUCUUGGUUAUCAUGGUUGUAAGGAACAUCUAAAGAUUAAAUUAGACCAUGUAAAUCCUGCAACGUUGUUCCUCUCUUUUCAAGUCUUUUGGAGAGUAGCUUCAUGAUACAGUCUCAGACUGUAUUCUGCAGCCUAGGCUGACCUUGAACUCAAGGCCCUCCUGUGUUGGUCUCUGCAGUGUGUGACAUUGGGGCUGCCUAUAUACAUACACACAGCCAUCACCUUUUAAAAAUAUCUGCUGCAUAUUUUACUGGCAUAUUUAGAGAGUUGUAUUAACUCUCUAAAUAAUUUUUACAAUUUCUAAACAAAAUUUUGUUUUAAUUUAAAUAAUUAGGUAAAUAAGAACUGGGUUAAUUUCUUAUCAAUACUGAGCUCUGUCUUGAUCUAAGCGCACCUCUGAGCAGGUUGUCAAACCUCAAUCAGUCAAAUAAACCAGGUGACCUUAGCAAACAUUCACUCUUGGAGAUAUUUUGUGGGGAACUUCAAAUUCUUACAUGUUAGAAAAACAAGUGGGUGUGAAGACGUGAAAUUAUGAUAGAAUUAGGAGGCACUGAGAAGGUAAUGAGAUCCAGGGAGGAUUUAAGGGUUCAUAGCGUUUUCUACACCUCUAGAGCAUCGUCCUCAUUUGGGCGAUAAAGUGGAGUUAGAGGCUCAUACAGUGACCCCAUGGCAGACUGUCUCUCUGGAUGCUGCCUGCACUCUUAGGCACCAGCCCGACAGCUCCCAGAUGUGAGCACUCAGAGCCCCUCACGGUCGUAUUUGAAGAUCACUAGCCCAGCCCUUGGCUUUGUUCUGAGGACAGGUUCUGGGGUGGGUAAAGUACGGUCCUGGCUCCUCCAGAGCCACAGAAAUGACUUUUGGUUUUGACAAUAUAAAUCAGUUUUAUUUUCAGAAUAGCAGCAGAAUCAGUCAAUUGGGGGUUAUCAGAAUCUCUGAUUUCCUUUACACCAAGGUUUUGGACUGGAAGCAGGGUGCUAUUUCUGUACUGGGUUUUAUUUUCGAAGCUCUGAAGUCCUAGGAAUAAAUGAAUAAAUGAUUAUCAAGUAGCUGCUUCUGCAGUGACAAACUGCAGUGACCCGGGGAUUUCUAGAUUUUCACCAUAAUCAGUGUCUCACAAAGGGAUAGAUUCAUGGCACGUUUCAGCCUUUUUUUUUCUUCUGGUUUUUCGAGACAGGGUUUCUCAGUAGCUUUGGAGCCUGCCCUGGAACCUGCUCUUGUAGACCAGGCUGACCUUGAACGCACAGAGAUCCGCCUGGGUGUGUGCCACCACCGCCCAACUCACAUUUCAGCUUUUAAAGGUAAAACAUUUUAUGAAGUAUGGAUUUCUUCAUAUAACAGUAAGUAUUAAAGACAGUAUGGGAACUGGAAAGAGAGAGAGGUUAGUGGCUAAGACCACAGUUUGGUGUUCAGCAUCCUCGGCAGAUGGCUCACAAUUGCCUGUAACUCCAACUCCAGUGAUCUGACUAUUUCUGCUGGGCUCCAUGAGUACUGGCACACAUAAACAAAGACAGACAGACAGACAGACACAGCUAGUGCGGUUGAUACUGUCAACUUGAUAGGGCCUAGAAUUUCUUAAGAGACAAAUCCCCAGCCACAGCUGUGAGGCAGUGUCUAGCGAGGUUGAGCUAGAAAGACCCACCCUAAAUGUGAGUGGCGUCAUUCCACAAACACGAGGCUCAGACGGGAAAAGGUGAAAGCAGGCUCAUUACCAGCAUUCCUCACUGAGACUAGCUCCCUUACACCCCUGAAGCUGCGCCUUCCUUACCACAAAGGACUGCGUUCCCUCAAACUGUGAACCAAAACACACCCUUCAAUAGCUUUUGUUGGGUGUUUCAUCAUAGCAAUAACACGAACACAUCACAGGCUCCCUUGUGAGCUGACUCUUUCCUGUUGUUUACACACUCAUUUCCUGCCGGCACAGUGAUAGUGAGGCCCUGCCAUGCCAUUAGCGACUGAGGGUCUGGACUCUGAAGUGCUGGUGUGGCCUCUUGCUUCCUCCCUAGUCUAGUGCUCUCUAGUGUUCCCAGCCUGAUCGAACGCAGUCCCUCUCAAUGCUCCUCAUUCUGGUGGCUGAAGAGGUUGAGGAGGUUGGGGCGGUUGAGUGCUUGGGACUCUUUCUUAGAUUUGUGUGGGGGGGGGUCUUGGUGCAUUCAUGCAGAUGCCUGUGGAGACCAGAAGAGGGCGUUGGUUUCCUCUGAAGCUUUACAUGAUGAAAACAACUUCUGGCCUCCACAAAAACAGCAGGCACUCUGGACCACUCCAGCACCUCCCCCACCUCCCCCAUGAUGUUGUUUGUUUGUUUUUAGGAUACAACAAAAUGUUUUAAUCUUCCAAAAUCAUAAGGAGAUAAAGAGCAUAAUCCAUCAUGUCACCAGUGGUCUUCAACAUUUAUUUUGCUUCGUGUGUGUGUGUGUGUGUGUGUGUGUGUGUGUGUGUGAAACUCAUCAAGGCAAAACAAAAUGUAGCCCUUGAGGGCUUCAAUUGCGCAUCCACUCACUGUUUGGUGGAUUCUCUCGACAACUGGAGUUUAUUCAUGCUCACUUGGUUGUGCCCUCUACCACAGCAGAGAGGUCUUCUCCAUCAUAAGAGCCACUCAGCUCAUGAUAGAAGAGGUUGGACGUCGGUUGUUUGGUUGUCUGUCUAUCUGCAACUAUUGGCUAUCUUUUAUUUUUAUGUGGACCUAGAGGGUCCACACAGUAGCCCUGACUAGGGCUAUCCUAAUUUAUGCCCGUGGACUGUAAUUGGUGAACUCAUUACCCCCAGAGAAUUUAGAUUCUCAGUUUGAGAACUGACAUCCCACAUCUCAUUGUGAUGUUUUUGAGGUGGGAAGGGGGAAAAUUCUGCCCAAAUUCACUUCUUAGGAAGGUCAUGGGACUGAAUUAAUAGAGCCAGAUUUUUGUUUUUGAAACAUUCAUUAUGAGGUUUUGUCAAUGGCUUUUAAGCCGUGAUGCAGUGUUCUGAAGAUGCUCCGUCUCCCUGAUAGAGCUAUUCUUGGGACAAAGCUCCUUAACCCUUGUCCCCUUUGUAUUAAUACCAGCUCCACUUCAUUUGUGGACACCGCACAAGAUUUAUUUGAACAAUCAUUUUUAUGACUAAACAAAGCUUAUAAACCAUCCUUUGUCAUCAGAAAUUCCAGUUCUUUCCCCAUGAUGAUUUUGCUGAGUGCUGAUUACCUUAUGUAACAAGAUACAUAAGGUGUGUGUGUGUGUGUGUGUGCAACUUAAAUUAUAAUUUAUACCUUAAGGAUUAAAUCAAAGCAUAUUUUUAGCUUUACUUAUCCCAUCCAACAACUAAAUAAUUGCUGAGCUAUUUGCUGGGUAGAACCAUGCUCUGAAACCUCAACUGGUCAGGGAAAUCACAGAAAAUUCUGGUUUUGAUGUUAAGAUAAAUGUUCCUAGGAGCCUUUUCAACUGACAAGGGGGCAGGAAGGAAUGUUGCAACUAGAAUUCCUAUAGGAGAUCUUUUCAAAGGAGGGACUUGGCUCUGCUGGCAACUGCUGGCAGAGACCCAGUAACUUCACAGACAGUCUCUUGGUGAAGAAUUCAACAGAGACAUUGCUCAUGGUAGACCUGGGACAGGAAUGGAUCUGAGCAUGGGACAAGGGAGCUUUUUCUUUUCUUUCUUUUUUCUUUUUCUUUUCUUUUAUCCUCCUCCUCCUCGUCCUCCUCCUCCUCGUCCUCCUCCUCCUCUUCCUCGUCCUCCUCCUCGUCCUCGUCCUCCUCCUCCUCCUCCUCCUCCUCCUCCUCCUCCUCCUCCUCCUUCUUCUUCUUCUUCUCUCUCUCUCUCUCUCUCUCUCUCUCUCUCUCUCUCUUUCAACGUUUCUCUGUGUAAUAGUCCUAGCUGUCCUGGAACUAGCUCUUGUAGACCAGGCUGGCUUUGAACUUGUUGAGAUCCGCCUGCCUCUCUCUCCUGAAUGCUGGAAUUAAAGGUAUGUGUCACAAACACCCACCAAGGAAGCUUUUUCUAUGAAGAUAUCCUUCCUAGGGUGGACUUCUGACACUGCACACUUCCUCCUUAUAAUCCUGAUCAUUGAUCAUCCAAUGAUAUUCAAUGAGGACCUGCAUGGAUGAUCUAUUGCACAAUCUACCCUGCAAAAUCUCAAAUUUUGGAUUGCUUCCUGCUCUAAGAAUUAAAAUCUACCGCGAGAGUCUGUUCUGGCUCGUUCUCUGCUCCCCAUAGAACCUGAAUCCAGGGCUCAGGACCACAGUAUCUUGAUUCUCUCCCCACCUCUGAGAAACUACAGGGUCUCUCAUCCUGGGCAUAACUGACGUGAGUUUGUUACCGCCUUGCGGUGGCAGCAUCUCUAACUCUUUCCCCUAGUCCUAGAUGUCACAACGUCAAUGUCUCCAGAUGUUUCCAGAUGUUCUGAGUAUGGAGAGAAGAAAGCAAAAUUGCCACUAUUGGGAACUAUGCUGGCAUCCACCAGGAACCGAAGGCACUGAGAACACCACCAGCAAGCCCAUCAUGACAACUAGAUAUGGCUUUCAAGGAAAAAAUUAGGCCCAUAGAAUUCAAUCCAGUCCAUGUUUCCAGUCCUCGAUGAAAGCUUGAAUCACCUGAGUUAUUUACAAAGGACUAACUGGGAAUUAAUAUUUUCUAAAAUCCCCACAGGAACUUAAAUUCCUAGACAGUUUUUGACCAACUCUGAACUAAGGAUGCUUGGUAGCUAUCAAAUGGAAAAAAGAUCCUAAACACGAUAAUACCCCCUACAUGUAUUUAAUACUCUUUCCUUCAUCAACGCCUCAGUGACAGUGGGAAUACCAAAAAUGUAGGAUCUGGAGAUCUCACACCCUAAGAUCUGAAGGUAGUAUUUCUACAAAGCACACAUGUUCUGAAAGCUACUGAUGCCCCCCCUUCCACAGAACCCUGAGGGGAAUGUCUAACACCCUCAAUCAGUUAGCAAGCUUCUGGAAGGCAUAAGACACCCUGCAAAACAAAGGACAACUUGCUUAAUUCACGUGAGAUUUUCAUUUGAAAAAUGGCUGCUAUGGUUAUUUCCCUCCAACGAUGGCUGUUGGGGUCAAAUGUGAUGACGCUUAGGAAAGCAUUUAGUGAGAGAUAAAGCCUGUCCCUCAUGCUUUUGUCCCAGGGAUUCUUUCUACCCUCAACCUCAGGCUGCCUGGUCAGCUUCCACUAGCUUCUAGUUUGGGCUUCUGGGGACAUGGAUGUGCAGCCACAGACUACUCAAGAGGUCUGCCCUCGACUGAGCCAUUAGGAAAACACAUUUGUGCUGAAAAAGACAGAGUGAUGUAUUUUUCAUGACCAAUGUUAAAAUCAUAUUUCACGUUAUUAUAUACUUAAGGACCUGGAAAGUAAUCGAUACCAUCUAAAAUGCAGGGAAGUGCAAGAGAUUAAUCUGGCAAAUGGUUUCCAUAAAAAAAAAAGCCAUUCAGUUUCCCAAAUUUAUCUUGUGUCCUGAGGUUUUUAAA